GUAAAUUCCGUCCAAGGCUAAAUACAGGUGAGAGACCAAUACCAAACAAGUACUGUUAGGGAAAUAUGAAAAGGACUUUGAAAAGAGAGUUAAAGAGUGCUUGAAAUUGCCGAGAGGGAAGCAGAUGGAGGUCGACGAUGCGUCUCAGUCAGAUUCAGAACGACUCAAGCUGGUCCGUCGCUCGACUCUAGGUGCGAACCAGCAUAGGCUGUUGCAUCGGCACAAGCACGGGUGGAGUACUGCCUGUUGGUUUUCCAUUGUGGCAGUCGAGGAACGAAGUGUGCACCCGUGGGGUGGGCCACUGUGCACCUGCACGCUCAUGGUGUUGGUUUGCGGGAUUUCCAUUCGACCCGUCUUGAAACACGGACCAAGGAGUCUAACAUGUGUGCGAGUCGGUGGGUUUGUAAACCUGCAAGGCAUAAGGAAGCUUAUGGGAGAGAAACCCUCUCCAUGGGGUGCAUUUCCGACCGACCUUGAGCUUGUGCGAAGGGUUCGAGUGUGAGCACACCUGUUGGGACCUGAAAGAUGGUGAACUAUGCCUGAGCAGGGCGAAGCCAGAGGAAACUCUUGUGGAGGCCCGUAGCGAUACUGACGUGCAAAUCAUUCAUUUGACUUGGGUAUAGGGGUGAAAGACUAAUCGAACCAUCUAGUAGCUAGUUUCCUCCAAAUUUUCCCUCAGGAUCGCUGGAGCUCACGUGCGAGUUUUAUCGGGUAAAGAAAAUAAUUAGAGGCAUCAAGGGUGUAAUUCCCUUGACCUAUUCUCAAAAUUUAAAUAGGUAAGAUGGUGCAGCUGCUCCACUGAGCCGUGCCAUGGAAUCGAGAGCUCCAAGUGGGCCAUUUUUGGUAAGCAGAACUGGCGAUGCCUGAUGAACCAAAAGUCGAGUUACGGUGCCAAACUACGCGCUAACCCAGAUCCAACAAAGGGUGUUGGUUGAUUAAGAUAGCAGGAUGGUGGUCAUGGAAGUCGAAAUCCGCUAAGGAUUGUGUAACAACUCACCUGCCGAAUCAACUAGCCCCGAAAAUGGAUGGUGCCGAAGUGCGCAACCUAUACUCGACCAUCAGAGCAAUUGCCAGGCUUUGAUGAGUAGGAGGACGCAGAGGUCGUUGAGAAACCUUAGGCUUGAGCCUGUUUGGACCGGUCCCUGGUGUAGAUCUUGGUGGUAGUAGCAAAUAUUCAAAUGAGAACUUUGAAGACUGAAGUGGGGAAAGGUUCCAUGUGAACAACACUUAGACAUGGGUUAGUCGAUCCUAAGAGAUGGGGAAGCCCUGUAUCAAGGGUGCACUCUGCACAAACAUCGAAAGGGAAUCAUGUUAGUAUUCCUCAACUGGGACAUGGUGGUGGAUGACAAUGUUAGGAAAUCCGGAGACGUUGUCGGGGGCCUCAGGAAGAGUUAUCUUUUCUUUUUAACAGCUUGCCCACCCUGAAAUUGGCUCAAACAAAGAUAGGGUCCAGCAGCUGGAAGAGAAUUGCACGUCUUGUGGUGUCCAAUGUGCCCUCGGCGACCCUUGAAGAUUUGGAGGACCGAGUACCGUCCAUGUCCGGUCGUACUCAUAAUCGCAUCAGGUCUCGAAGGUGAACAACCUCUGGUCAAUAGAACAAUGUACGUAAGAGAAUUUGGCAAAACAGAUCCGUAACUUCAGGAAAAGGAUUAGCUCUGAGGGCUAGGAAUAGGGGUCUGCGUCCUCAACCCGUGGGCUAUCGGAAGUCUGCCCGAGCUGCUAUCACGACAAGGACGAGCAGUCACGUGCCGAUUGGGAUACAAACGUAGAAUGUCCUCUCACGAGGGAUUUUCCUUAGGAAGCGAACAUUCAACUCAGAACUGGUAUGGACAAGGGGAAUCUGACUUUUUAAUUAAAACAAAGCAUUGCGAUGGUCCCUGCGGAUGUUGAUGCAAUGUGAUUUUUUCCUAGUGCUCUGAAUGUUAAAGUGAAGAAAUUCAACCAAGCGUGGGUAAACGGCGGUAGUAACUAUGACUCUCUUAAGGUAGCCAAAUGCCUCGUCAUCUAAUUAGUGACGCACGUGAAUGGAUUAACGAGAUUCCCAUUGUCCCUAUCUACUAUCUAGUGAAACCACAGCCAAGGGAACGGGCUUGGCAGAAUCAGCAGGGAAAGAAGACCCUGUUGAGCUUGACUCUAGUCUGACUUUGUGAAAUGACUUGAGAGGUGUAGAAUAA
rnacentral:ncRNA from 2 species